rnacentral:other from 1 species
CAACCUCUGGAAUGCGCGACAUAUUCCUGAUUGUGCUGACCAACUGAUCGAUUUCUUGCCCGGAGUCGGGUUGUGGUGAGCAAGCCCACACAUUGAGUGGGACGCCUGAAGCACCCAUGCUGGGUAUCAUUCAAAUUUACAGGUUCUCUCUAUUAGGGAGUAAAAGUCGGUAUUCUGGAGGUUGU